UACGGAGGGUGCAAACGUUGCUCGGAAUCAUUGGGCGUAAAGCGCGUGUAGGCGGUCCGGUAAGUCCGCUGUGAAAGUCGGGGGCUCAACCCUCGGAUGCCGGUGGAUACUGUCGGGCUUGAGUACGGAAGAGGCGAGUGGAAUUCCUGGUGUAGCGGUGAAAUGCGCAGAUAUCAGGAGGAACACCAAUUGCGAAGGCAGCUCGCUGGGACGUUACUGACGCUGAGACGCGAAAGCGUGGGGAGCAAACAGG
rnacentral:rRNA from 1 species